AGGCUAGGGCGGCGAAGAUUUGGAGCUAUGAAAGCUGCUUCUUCCUCCUGAACUCUAGGACACAAAAGGAGGAAAGGGGGAUGAAAGCUCGGAAUGAAGAAUAAAAAGCAGGAGUUAGGGUUGAAUUUGAAAGGUUCACAGCAUGUAUUUACUAAAAUACAAGUGAAAGUUUUCAUCUAUGGAGAAGUUCAAUCAGAAUUCUUCAUUGAAUGAAUUUUCUACAUGAAAUGAUUUACAGCUCACCAGGCGCCAUGGCACAUAUCCAGAACACAACAUGCAAGGGAGAGAUCAUUCUGUGUGAUCACCGAAUUGUCUGGAGAUCAAUCAAGAUGCAUCAUGUCAUCUGAUACACAGCAUAUUGAUGAUGUGGUGCAUCUUGAUUGGCCUCUGGACGGUAUCCGAUGACCGCACGUAAUAAUUUCGUCUUUUGGGGGGUCUCAAAGUGCGGAGAGCUGCGCUGCAUCUUAUUGGUUGUUGCCUCACUCCCUUGCUGCCGGAUUUUUUGUUGGCUUUUGCUGCCUUUUUUGGAGGCAAUAUUCAUUGGUUUCGUUUAGUAUAGAUUGGAAUUUGAACAUGACAUAAUUUAUUUGUACUAUAGCAGUUUAUUUUUAAAAAUUUUCAUCUCACAGUUCCACUGA